CGGGAUGAUCCUAGCGGCGGACGGGUGAGUAACACGUGGGCAACCUGCCUCAUAGAGAGGAAUAGCCUUCCGAAAGGGAGAUUAAUACUCAUAACAUUGCAGUUUCGCAUGAAACAGCAAUUAAAGGAGCAAUCCGCUAUGAGAUGGGCCCGCGGCGCAUUAGCUAGUUGGUGAGGUAACGGCUCACCAAGGCGACGAUGCGUAGCCGACCUGAGAGGGUGAUCGGCCACAUUGGGACUGAGACACGGCCCAGACUCCUACGGGAGGCAGCAGUGGGGAAUAUUGCACAAUGGGGGAAACCCUGAUGCAGCCAACGCCGCGUGAGUGAUGACGGCCUUCGGGUUGUAAAGCUCUGUCUUCAGGGACGAUAAUGACGGUACCUGAGGAGGAAGCCACGGCUAACUACGUGCCAGCAGCUGC
rnacentral:rRNA from 1 species